rnacentral:rRNA from 1 species
AUACGGAGGGGGCUAGCGUUGUUGGGAAUUACUGGGCGUAAAGCGCACGUAGGCGGAUUAAAAAGUUAGAGGAGAAAUCCCAGGGCUUAACCCUGGAACUGCCUUUAAAACUAGUAGUCUAGAGUUCGAGAGAGGUGAGUGGAAUUCCAAGUGUAGAGGUGAAAUUCGUAGAUAUUUGGAGGAACACCAGUGGCGAAGGCGGCUCACUGGCUCGAUACUGACGCUGAGGUGCGAAAGCGUGGGGAGCAAACAGGAUUAGAAACCCUAGUAGUCC